rnacentral:rRNA from 1 species
GAUGAACGCUGGCGGCGUGCUUAACACAUGCAAGUCGAACGGUGAAAGAGAGCUUGCUCUCUGGAUCAGUGGCGAACGGGUGAGUAACACGUGAGCAAUCUGCCCCUGACUCUGGGAUAACAGCUGGAAACAGCUGCUAAUACCGGAUACGAGUUGCGAAGGCAUCUUCAGCAGCUGGAAAGAAUUUCGGUCAGGGAUGAGCUCGCGGCCUAUCAGCUUGUUGGUGAGGUAAUGGCUCACCAAGGCGUCGACGGGUAGCCGGCCUGAGAGGGUGACCGGCCACACUGGGACUGAGACACGGCCCAG